UCUUGGAGAUAAACUAAACAUUAUUGUAACAAAUGUAGUCUUAUUAUAACAUAAUAAAACUUUCAACAACGGAUCUCUUGGCUCUCGCAUCGAUGAAGAACGCAGCGAAAUGCGAUAAGUAAUGUGAAUUGCAGAAUUCAGUGAAUCAUCAAAUCUUUGAACGCACCUUGCGCUCCUUGGUAUUCCGAGGAGCAUGCCUGUUUGAAUGUCAUGAAACUCUCAAACCCAAGUUUUGGAUUUCGAUCCAUGCUUGAGUUUGGAUUUGGAUGUUUGCCGGUGAUGAACCGACUCAUCUUAAAAGUAUUACCUUGCAUCAGUCAAUAUGACUGGUUUAACUUGGCAUAAUAAGUAUUUUGCUGAGGACAUCUUCAGAUGGCCAAGACCUACAAUACUGUAAGCUAACAAAACCAUCACUUUAACUGCAUCUUUGGAUGUUACUCAUUGUGUCACUUUGACAUCUGGACUCAUAUCUACUAGGACUACCCGCUGAACCCAACA
rnacentral:rRNA from 1 species